CAACCCAUGUGAACAUACCUACUGUUGCUUCGGCGGGAUUGCCCCGGGCGCCUCGUGUGCCCCGGAUCAGGCGCCCGCCUAGGAAACUCAACUCUUGUUUUAUUUUGGAAUCUUCUGAGUAGUUUUUACAAAUAAAUAAAAACUUUCAACAACGGAUCUCUUGGUUCUGGCAUCGAUGAAGAACGCAGCGAAAUGCGAUAAGUAAUGUGAAUUGCAGAAUUCAGUGAAUCAUCGAAUCUUUGAACGCACAUUGCGCCCGCCAGUAUUCUGGCGGGCAUGCCUGUCUGAGCGUCAUUUCAACCCUCAUGCCCCUAGGGCGUGGUGUUGGGGAUCGGCCAAAGCCCGCGAGGGACGGCCGGCCCCUAAAUCUAGUGGCGGACCCGUCGUGGCCUCCUCUGCGAAGUAGUGAUAUUCCGCAUCGGAGAGCGACGAGCCCCUGCCGUUAAACCCCCAACUUUCCAAGGUUGACCUCAGAUCAGGUAGGAAUACCCGCUGAACUUAAGCAUAUCAAUAAGCGGAGGA
rnacentral:rRNA from 1 species